rnacentral:rRNA from 1 species
GCCAGACUCCUACGGGAGGCAGCAGUGGGGAAUAUUGCACAAUGGGGGAAACCCUGAUGCAGCGACGCCGCGUGAGUGAAGAAGUAUUUCGGUAUGUAAAGCUCUAUCAGCAGGAACGAGACAAGACGGUACCUGACUAAGAAGCCCCGGCUAACUACGUGCCAGCAGCCGCGGUAAUACGUAGGGGGCAAGCGUUAUCCGGAAUCACUGGGUGUAAAGGGAGCGUAGACGGCUGAGCAAGCCUGAAGUGAAAGGCGGGGGCCCAACCCCCGGACUGCUUUGGGAACUGUACGGCUGGAGUGCAGGAGAGGUAAGUGGAAUUCCUAGUGUAGCGGUGAAAUGCGUAGAUAUUAGGAGGAACACCAGUGGCGAAGGCGGCUUACUGGACUGUAACUGACGUUGAGGCUCGAAAGCGUGGGGAGCAAACAGGAUUAGAUACCCCUGUAC